CACGUAGGGUGCGAGCGUUGUCCGGAAUUAUUGGGCGUAAAGAGCUCGUAGGCGGUGUGUCGCGUCGGCCGUGAAAACCUGCAGCUUAACUGUGGGCGUGCGGUCGAUACGGGCAUCACUGGAGUUCGGCAGGGGAGACUGGAAUUCCUGGUGUAGCGGUGAAAUGCGCAGAUAUCAGGAGGAACACCGAUGGCGAAGGCAGUUCUCUGGGCCGUAACUGACGCUGAGGAGCGAAAGCGUGGGGAGCGAUCCGG
rnacentral:rRNA from 1 species